CUCGUUUUGAUCAGAAUUGAGAAAAAAUGCUCUAGGUAUGUUUUAAGCUGUACCCAGUUUUGGAAAGAUUGUGGGCGGGCCGAGAGAAUAACCUGGGAACUUCCUGACUGAUAAUCAAAGGCAUUCAUCACUACAUCACACUAUUUCUGUUCUCUUUCGCUAAGCCAGGAAGGGAAAGUAAAAAGCACUUGAAUUUCCGUGUGCAAUAAAUCUGUCCUUUAAACUUGCUUGAUAAAAUGUAUUAGACCAUUCAUCAUGGUUUUUUUCCCCUCUUCCACAGCCUGUAAUCUGCAACACAAUGUGUGACAACUCCACUAGCGGAGAUACGGGGAAAUUUUUCAGCGAGGCUAUAGAACAUCUUCAAGCAGUAACACGGGAGAACAUGAGGUCAAUCUCAAAUUAGUAUUUACUGUAUUUGACACAUAAGGCC
rnacentral:lncRNA from 1 species